rnacentral:rRNA from 1 species
GCUUGCUUCCUUUCAGACUUAGCGGCGGACGGGUGAGUAACACGUAGGCAACCUGCCCUCAAGCCUGGGAUAACUACCGGAAACGGUAGCUAAUACCGGAUAAUUUCUUUCUUCUCCUGAGGAGAGAAUGAAAGGCGGAGCAAUCUGCCGCUUGGGGAUGGGCCUGCGGCGCAUUAGCUAGUUGGUGGGGUAACGGCCCACCAAGGCGACGAUGCGUAGCCGACCUGAGAGGGUGAACGGCCACACUGGGACUGAGACACGGCCCAGACUCCUACGGGAGGCAGCAGUAGGGAAUCUUCCGCAAUGGGCGCAAGCCUGACGGAGCAACGCCGCGUGAGUGAUGAAGGUUUUCGGAUCGUAAAGCUCUGUUGCCAGGGAAGAACGUCCGGUAGAGUAACUGCUGCCGGAGUGACGGUACCUGAGAAGAAAGCCCCGGCUAACUACGUGCCAGCAGCCGCGGUAAUACGUAGGGGGCAAGCGUUGUCCGGAAUUAUUGGGCGUAAAGCGCGCGCAGGCGGUUAUUUAAGUCUGGUGUUUAAACCUUGGGCUCAACCUGAGGUCGCACUGGAAACUGGGUGACUUGAGUACAGAA